GGGGAAUUAGCUCAGUGGUAGAGCGCUUGCUUAGCACUGUUCAUCAGUUUGCAUGAGGCCAUGGGUUCAAUUCCCAUAUUCUCCA
rnacentral:tRNA from 1 species